CACAAUCAUGACGAGAAAAAUCUGUUUGAGAUCCCUCAGGUGCCUUAAACUGAAGUAUAGCUGUUUCACCUUUAUCUGCAAGAAAUUUUAGAAUCCCUGUGGAGCUGAUAGCUGUGGACUAAUGGCUGGCAUACCAAGCAGCAAGUGGAGAAUCUCCUCCAGACGUAGUCACAGCAGAAGCCUGGGGAGAGUGCACAGCUCACUGCCUGCAGGAACCACCUUCUUCACAAGGCUUCUGGAAA